rnacentral:lncRNA from 1 species
AUGAAUAAUGUCCAUUUGGGUAAAAAUGAUCAUGCAAUUUUUUUUUUCAUUCCUAGUCAUCAACACCACAACAUGAUACCAGGAAAUGAUACACAAGAUUCAGAAUUUCUUCUUCAGGGAUUAUCAAUGAAACCAGAGCUGCAGCCCCUCAUCUUCGGGCUUUUCCUCUUAAUGUACCUGAUCACUGGGUUUGGAAACCUGCUCAUCAUCCUGGCUGUCAGCUCAGACUCCCACCUCCACACCCCCAUGUAUUUCUUCCUCUCCAACCUGUCCUUUGUAGACAUCUGUUUCACCACCACAACAAUCCUAAAGAUGUUAAUAAACAUACAGAACCAGAGAAAAGCUAUAUCCUAUGAAGGCUGCAUCAGUCAGAUGUAUUUUUACAUGCUCUUUGCAGUGUUGGAUGAUUUUCUUCUGACCGUGAUGGCCUAUGACCGGUAUGUGGCCAUCUGCCACCCCCUGCACUACACAGUCAUCAUGAGCCCUCGACUCUGUGGACUUUUGGUUCUGCUAUCUUGGAUCAUUAGUACCCUGCUUUCCUUGUUAGAAACCUUACUUGUGUUACGGCUGUCUUUCUGUACAGAUUUGGAAAUCCCUCACUUUUUCUGUGAAAUCAAGCAGAUUGUCCAGCUUGCCUGUGAUGAUACGCUUCUUAAUGAUACCAUUAUGUAUUUUACAGCAGUGCUGUUGGGUGGUGGUCCCCUCGCUGGUAUCCUUUACUCUUACUCUAAGAUAAUAUUCUCCAUACAUGGAAUCUCGUCACCUCAGGGGAAAUAUAAAGCAGUCUCCAUCUGUGCAUCUCACCUCUCAGUUGUCUCCUUAUAUUAUUGUUCAAGCCUAGGAGUGUACCUUAGCUCUGCUACUGCUCCCCACAACUCUCAUUCAAGUGCAACAGCCUCUGUGAUGUACACCGUUGUCACACCCAUGCUGAACCCCUUCAUCUACAGUCUCAGAAACAAAGACAUAAAAAGAGCUCUGAAAAGACUCAUUCACAUGGCAGUUAUAAAAAGGGAAAUUGUUCUGGGUUUGAAGAAGCAGCCUUGA